rnacentral:rRNA from 1 species
CCUACGGGAGGCUGCAGUGAGGAAUAUUGGUCAAUGGGCGCGAGCCUGAACCAGCCAAGUAGCGUGAAGGAUGACUGCCCUACGGGUUGUAAACUUCGUUUAUAAAGGAAUAAAGUGAGGCACGUGUGCCUUUUUGUAUGUACUUUAUGAAUAAGGAUCGGCUAACUCCGUGCCAGCAGCCGCGGUAAUACGGAGGAUCCGAGCGUUAUCCGGAUUUAGUGGGUUUAAAGGGAGCGUAGAUGGGUUGUUAAGUCAGUUGUGAAAGUUUGCGGCUCACCCGUAAAAUUGCCAUUGAUACGGGCAGCCUUGUGUACAGUUGUGGUAGGCGGUAUUCGUGUUGUAGCCGUGCACUGCUUAGAUCUCACG